CACCACAACAUCUUGCAAAUUCCUCCCCACCAUUCAAAAUUAGCAAUCUUUGAGCAACUAAAAUUAACCCUUUUUCUAUAAUUUCCUAAAAAUAGCCAUAACAUAUUUUUAUAAAAUCCUAUUCACUACCAUCUAUUCUUCAGACCUUUCUUCAUCUCCAAGGCAGGUCUAGGCCUUCAUUUUAUCAUGGACAUGAAAAAGAUCUCCUUUGCUGUCCUCAUUGUCGCUGCCUCCAUGAGUGCAGCCUUGACCGCCCACGCUGCUGAGGCCCCUGCCACUUCUGCCGGUUCAGCUGCUUCAGGCCCUGCCGCUUCUGGCCCUUCUGCUCCAUCCCCCGCCAGCGGAGCUGCCGAGACAUCCCCAUUUGUUGGGUCUUUGAUCGGAGCUUCCCUUUUAUCUUUCCUUGCCUACUAUAUGCAGUAAGCUGAUUAACAGGGAAGAAGAUGGCAGGAUAUAUAUCUAAAAUAAUGUAUUUAUAAGACAAAUGAAUGUGGAAUAGAAAAGUUGCUUGAACGAAGGGAUUGAUAAGAGAAUAACAGAUGAUGAUUAUGAAUCUUUUUUUUUAAUUCUUGG
rnacentral:misc_RNA from 1 species